ACAGCUAAUUUAACGUAUCUAUACUGUUUAUUAAAACUAAACUGACACCAAGUUAUAAAUAUAGAGAAGAGUUGCUGAUUUGUCUGUCUAAUAUUAUAUUCAAAGAAUACGAAGAGAUUUAUAAACGUAGGUAAGUAAAACAAUUUGAUUUUAUUACACUAAUACGUGGGUGCAUUGAACAACAGGUACAUUAAUAUUGUAAACAC